AUUGAACGCUAGCGGGAGGCUUUACACAUGCAAGUCGAACGGCAGCGCGGACUUCGGUCUGGCGGCGAGUGGCGAACGGGUGAGUAAUGUAUCGGAACGUGCCUAGUAGCGGGGGAUAACGACGGGAAAGGGGAGCUAAUACCGCAUACGUCCUACGGGGGAAAGCGGGGGAUCGUCGGACCUUACACUAUCAGAUGGGCCUAGGUCGGAUUAGCUAGUUGGUGGGGUAAAGGCCUACCAAGGCGACGAUCCGUAACUGGUUUGAGAGGAAGAACAGGCACACCGGGAACUGGACACCGGCCCGGCCUCCAAGGGGGGGCAGAAGGGGGAAAUUUGGGAAAAGGGGGGAAACCCUAACCAAGCAAGCCGGGGGGGGCGAGGAAGGCCUCCGGGUGGUAAAGCAUUUUUGGCGGGAAAGAAAGGUCGCAGUUUAAACCCCCGUGGAACUGCCGGAACCUGAAGAAGAAGAACGGGUUACCUACGU
rnacentral:rRNA from 1 species